GUAUGAAAUCCAUCACAGGGAAAACAUUUGCACUACAGAACAGAUAAGAUAAUUAAAAAUGAAAUUGCAAGAUAAGGUGUUUGACAGGGCGGAGGGAAGCCGCACAGUGGAGGAAAAACCAUCCCCAUGACUACUGGUCCUUUCUCCUCCCUGCUCAUUGCUGUUCGCCUCUUCUUUGAUUCCAGAGCUUGUUUUAUUCCUCAGCAGCCUUUCUACAGACUGGCGGAUCCAGUCACAGUUGGAAAUUGUGGAACUGUGGUUUGUUUCAGAAAGAGAAGAAAAGAGAGUUUAAGUAUCGCCUUAGCAGCAGAUGGCUUUGCUUUGGAUUCUUUUAUACACAAAGGAGAUGUGUUUGCUGGCUUUGUAAUUAACUCAAAAAGGGAAAAGAAAAAUUGUUAAAGGCAGUGUGGAUAUGACUUGAAUUUUUCAUCAGGGCUCUCAACACUGUGGUAUUUAUUACUAGGGGUGAAGAAUGACCUCCUUCCUGCUAGUUUUCCAAUAAUUCCUACUUCAAAAAGGAAUUAAGGUUGGAAACAUAGCCUCUUUCUGGCCAGAAAGCUG